ACAGCAGUCGCCACGGUAAUACGGAGGGGGCUAGCGUUGUUCGGAAUUACUGGGCGUAAAGCGCACGUAGGCGGUUUGGUAAGUUAGAGGUGAAAGCCCGGAGCUCAACUCCGGAAUUGCCUUUAAGACUGCCGAGCUAGUAGGUGAGAGAGGUAAGUGGAAUUCCGAGUGUAGAGGUGAAAUUCGUAGAUAUUCGGAAGAACACCAGUGGCGAAGGCGGCUUACUGGCUCAUUCUAGACGCUGAGGUGCGAAAGCGUGGGGAGCAAACAGGAUUAGAUACCCCUGUAGUCCCUGUCUCUUAUAU
rnacentral:rRNA from 1 species